ACACCAUUUGUCUCCCAACAAAUUGAAAAACAGUGAUCAAGAUAGUGACUCCGAUUGAUUCACAUAUUGUAUUGACAUAUGACUGUUGACAUUGCUUUUUAGUCUCCAAUAUUUCAGUGAGUCAUGCUUUGGAAAUUAUUAUUACCCAACCCUUGAGUUGUUUUGUUUUUCAUUUACCCAACCUUUUACUCACUCAAAAUUUUGUUUACCCAACCCUUUUUUCUUCGGUGCCACCCCCUGCCAUAAAUAAUGACCGGUCC